UUCAACACCAUUCUUCAAACCGGCAUGUCCUAUGAAUUCACUCGUGUAGGAUUUAACCCCACUGAAAUGGCAGUUGUACAUUUCUUGUAUCUAGACAUGGAGUUUAUCAUGACACUAGAUAGUAGGACUGUGGUUAUGAUUUCGGCACACAGGAUAUCAACGACAAUUUAUCCAUUGUGUUUCCCACAAUUUGGGGCCAUCUACUCACUACAAGACAAACGCAUAACUGAUGUUAUUGCUAUUGUUGCCUAUGUUAGUAAGAUACAAACUCUAUGGGAUCCAAUAUAUGAUAGACAUGUCCCUUUGCUCGAAA